rnacentral:lncRNA from 1 species
ACUUGAUCCAUCUGACACUAGAACAUUUAAAGGGGCUACAAGUCCUCUUAAGACUCCGCGCUUCUUGGACUUCAAGGCUUUUUGAACAAGGUUGAGCUGAUGCUGGAUUACCAGGGAAUCUAUGCCGUUGCACUGGAUACAGGCCCAUUGUGGAGAGUGCGAGAAGUUUCAGCCCUAACUCAGCUUGCUGCCCGAUGAAUGAGAAAUGGAAAUGUUGCUUGGAUGAAGGAAAAAACGAGCCUGAGAGAAAAACAGUGU